GACAUUCAGUGAAACAUACAUCCCAACUGACUUUUAAUCAGUAGGUCGCUGGUUCGAACCCAGCAGGGCUCACCA
rnacentral:tRNA from 1 species